GUCCAAGAAAUAGGGCACGAAUCGCAAGGUAAGCUGUAGAAGAAGAGCCAGGGAAAGGAGGCAAAGACAGAAAGCUAUGGCGUCAGGUUGGGGGAUUACAGGGAACAAGGGGCGGUGCUACGACUUCUGGAUGGACUUCAGUGAGUGCAUGUCGCGUUGCCGGGAGCCCAAAGACUGCGCCUUACUCCGCGAGGACUACUUCGAGUGUCUCCACCACGCGAAAGAGUUCCGAAGGAGAAACCAAGUCUACAAAGAAGAGCAGCGUCAAAUAAGAGCAGCUGCUAGGAAGGCCAAGGAAGAUACUGAAGGUGGUGAUGGAGACCAUCACCACUAAUUUGAUUUAUAAUAGUCCUCUCUGAAGUGAUCAUCUGAAAGUGAGAGGAGAAAAACUUCGGCAGUUGACUAUUCGCUCUUGAGGACUCCCUUCUUAUUCUUAGGAACUCACCUUCGCAGACUCAAUACCAGUUCUCACAAACUUGCCUAAAGCGCUCGCCUUGGGUACUGCCAAAGGACCACAUCAGAGGUAGAGGUCACGUGUGAACCAUCCAGCUCAGCCUAGGUGUCAGUAUCAAUUUGUACUUAUUGCAUCUUAUAUGAUUUUUUUCAUUAUAUUUUAGGUGCAACAUUCAUUGUAUCCCUCUUGACCCUAUAAAUAAUGGAUGAAGAGGCAUAUUUUGAACUUCA